GGUUAAUACCCGCUAGGAAAGACAUCACUCGCAGAAGAAGCACCGGCUAACUCCGUGCCAGCAGCCGCGGUAAUACGGAGGGUGCAAGCGUUAAUCGGAAUUACUGGGCGUAAAGCGCGCGUAGGUGGCUUGAUAAGCCGGUUGUGAAAGCCCCGGGCUCAACCUGGGAACGGCAUCCGGAACUGUCAAGCUAGAGUGCAGGAGAGGAAGGUAGAAUUCCCGGUGUAGCGGUGAAAUGCGUAGAGAUCGGGAGGAAUACCAGUGGCGAAGGCGGCCUUCUGGACUGACACUGACACUGAGGUGCGAAAGCGUGGGUAGCAAACAGGAUUAGAUACCCUGGUAGUCCACGCCGUAAACGAUGUCGACCAGCCGUUGGGUGCCUAGCGCACUUUGUGGCGAAGUUAACGCGAUAAGUCGACCGCCUGGGGAGUACGGCCGCAAGGUUAAAACUCAAAUGAAUUGACGGGGGCCCGCACAAGCGGUGGAGCAUGUGGUUUAAUUCGAUGCAACGCGAAGAACCUUACCUA
rnacentral:rRNA from 1 species